rnacentral:rRNA from 1 species
CAAGUCGAACGGCAGCACGGGGGCAACCCUGGUGGCGAGUGGCGAACGGGUGAGUAAUACAUCGGAACGUGUCCUGUAGUGGGGGAUAGCCCGGCGAAAGCCGGAUUAAUACCGCAUACGAUCUACGGAUGAAAGCGGGGGAUCUUCGGACCUCGCGCUAGAGGGGCGGCCGAUGGCAGAUUAGCUAGUUGGUGGGGUAAAGGCCUACCAAGGCGACGAUCUGUAGCUGGUCUGAGAGGACGACCAGCCACACUGGGACUGAGACACGGCCCAGACUCCUACGGGAGGCAGCAGUGGGGAAUUUUGGACAAUGGGGGCAACCCUGAUCCAGCAAUGCCGCGUGUGUGAAGAAGGCCUUCGGGUUGUAAAGCACUUUUGUCCGGAAAGAAAACCUCUGGGUUAAUACCCCGGGGGGAUGACGGUACCGGAAGAAUAAGCACCGGCUAACUACGUGCCAGCAGCCGCGGU